UACGUAGGAGGCGAGCGUUGUUCGGAAUUACUGGGCGUAAAGAGUGUGUAGGCGGUGCUCUAAGUUCGGUGUGAAAUCUCCCGGCUUAACUGGGAGGGUGCGCCGGAAACUGGAAUGCUCGAACGUGGGAGAGGAAAGCGGAAUUCCUGGUGUAGCGGUGAAAUGCGUAGAUAUCAGGAGGAACACCUGCGGUGUAGACGGCUUUCUGGACCAUUGUUGACGCUGAGACACGAAAGCGUGGGUAGCGAACAG
rnacentral:rRNA from 1 species